rnacentral:rRNA from 1 species
AACGAACGCUGGCGGCAUGCCUAACACAUGCAAGUCGAACGAGACCUCCGGGUUUAUUGCCGCACGGGUGCGUAACGCGUGGGAACCUGCCCUUAGGUUCGCAAUAACCUCCCGUAAGGGGUACUAAUACCGGAUAAUGUUUUUGGACCAAAGACUUGUCGUCUUUGGUUGGGUCCGGGUUGGAUUAGCUAGUUGGUAGGGUAAAAGCCUACCAAGGGCACGCUCCAUAGCUGGUCGGGGAGGAUGAUCGGCCACGCUGGGACUGAGACACGGCCCAGACUCGUACGGGAGGCAGCAGUGGAGAAUGUUGGACAAAGGGCGAAUGACUGAUGCAGCAAUGCCGGGUGAGAGAUGAAGGCCUUAGGGUUGUAGAGCUCUUUUUCCCGGGAUGGUAAUGACAGUACCGGGAGAAUAAGCGCCGGCUAACUCCGUG